GUGCUUGUUUCAGCAGCACGUGUACUAAAAUUGGAACGAUAGAGGAGUGGAUUGGCAUGGCCCUGCACAAGGAUGCCAGGCACAUUCGUAAAGGGUUCCAUAUUUCU
rnacentral:snRNA from 1 species